CGUCUCAUCUCCACAGCUGCUAUGUCGCUGUCGCUGUCGCCGUCGUCGCGCCGCGAUACCGCUGCUCGGGUACCCCGAGGCCGCCUGCCUUUUGCUGCUCCCCGACCGCGGAUGGUCCGGCCAGGCGAACGCGCGCGGCCGGGCCGGCUUCGCCGCUCCUCGCCCACGGCUAGUCCGGGGCCGCCGCUCCCUGCGCGUAGCCUGCCUUGCGCCUUGGCUCGUCGCUCGCGACCGGCCAGUGGCGACUGUCGCUCCCCGCCCGUGGCUUCGCCGCUCCUCGCCCACGGCCGGUCCGGCGUCGAUGCUUCCUGCCCGUGGCCAGCCCUUCGCUCCGGCUCCUUGCUCGCGGCUGGCCAGGCGGCGGCCUUCGCUCCCGCCCACGGCUUCGCCGCUCCUCACCCACGGCCGGUCCGGCGCUGCCUGCCCUGCGUCUAGGCUCCUCGCUUGCGGAAGGCCAGGCGACGGCCAUCACUCCCCGCCCGCUGCUACGACCGUGGCGCUCCCGUGCUGCUGCGAUGUCGAUCGUGGAGCUCGCUUCUGGCGUCAGAUUUUCGGCGGGAAAAUGAGUCGUCUCUUCCUCCUAGACUCCAAGCCAACUCGAGAUGUCGCUACGCGCUGGCCUGGGCAGCGUGGGACGGCAAGCGCACAGCUGGAGCGAGGGAAUGAUGUGGUUGUCCAUCAAAGUCAACCUGAACUUGCUCGAAGGUAGAGACGAUGAGCAGCAUCAACGAUGGGGAAAUAGCUCUGCUCAAUCGCAUACUAGAAAUGAGUUUUUGCCGCCGGCUAUCAAGGGCAACAGGUGCCGAUCAAUCAACAAUGAUAAGUGGUCAGUUAACCUUGAUUCUUUGGUGUUAAGUUUGUUGUUCGCGUCCAAAACAUCAUAAUUGAAUAUUAGCAUUGGUAAUUGCAGAAUAAUUAGUCAGUCUCGGUAAAAGAGAUGACAUAUCCAAUAACUGUAAUAAAUAGUGUGCCCAGUCAAUCUUGUUAUUUUUUGUGUUAACUUCACAUUUCAUUAAAUUUGUAAUACAAUGCGGGCAGCCACAUUGUCUCUGAAGUCUGAACUGAUCUGGAGCUCUUGCAUAAUAAACAAGAUUAUAGACUAAAUUUAAUGAACAUGUCGAUCUGACAAAGGAAGAAGACUGCUUGGCCAUGUGUCCAUCCUGGAGCUUGUGAAUCUGGAAAUUAAUUUUUUCCUUGUGUUUAUACAUAGAUUGGACCUUUAUAGGACAAG